rnacentral:rRNA from 1 species
GACGAACGCUGGCGGCGUGCUUAACACAUGCCAGUCGAACGGAAAGGCCCUGCUUUUGUGGGGUGCUCGAGUGGCGAACGGGUGAGUAACACGUGAGUAACCUGCCCUUGACUUUGGGAUAACUUCAGGAAACUGGGGCUAAUACCGGAUAGGAGCUCCUGCUGCAUGGUGGGGGUUGGAAAGUUUCGGCGGUUGGGGAUGGACUCGCGGCUUAUCAGCUUGUUGGUGGGGUAGUGGCUUACCAAGGCUUUGACGGAUAGCCGGCCUGAGAGGGUGACCGGCCACAUUGGGACUGAGAUACGGCCCAGACUCCUACGGGAGGCAGCAGUGGGGAAUAUUGCACAAUGGGCGGAAGCCUGAUGCAGCAACGCCGCGUGCGGGAUGACGGCCUUCGGGUUGUAAACCGCUUUCGCCUAUGACGAAGCGUGAGUGACGGUAAUGGGUAAAGAAGCACCGGCUAACUACGUG